rnacentral:rRNA from 1 species
UCGGGAAUUUUGGGCAAUGGGCGAAAGCCUGACCCAGCAACGCCGCGUGAAGGAUGAAGUAUUUCGGUAUGUAAACUUCGAAAGAAUAGGAAGAAUAAAUGACGGUACUAUUUAUAAGGUCCGGCUAACUACGUGCCAGCAGCCGCGGUAAUACGUAGGGACCAAGCGUUGUUCGGAUUUACUGGGCGUAAAGGGCGCGUAGGCGGCAAUUCAAGUCAUCUGUGAAAUCUCCGGGCUUAACUCGGAACGGUCAGAUGAUACUGCUUUGCUAGAGUGCAGAAGGGGCAAUCGGAAUUCUUGGUGUAGCGGUGAAAUGCGUAGAUAUCAAGAGGAACACCUGAGGUGAAGACGGGUUGCUGGGCUGACACUGACGCUGAGGCGCGAAAAGCC